CCACAUCGAGAAGUUGAACUGCGAAGGGGCUCUUGGGGGUCUUAUAAGUACGAAAGGAGGGUUCAUGGUGAAAAAUAACCUGUCCUGUUGGGGGUGUAAGGCGACUCGUCAAUGAUCGUUAAGUGACGACGGGUCGUGCCGACACAAACCAAAGCGAACACACCUUUAGAGGCGAGCGAGCUCCACCCUUACUUAGGUGGACUUGCCCGUCAAUUUUUGGAAGCUCCCCUGGGGGAGGGGGUUUACUUUACCAU